rnacentral:lncRNA from 1 species
GCGUCUUAUUGGAGCUGAUCAUGUGCUUUGUUUAUGUUACUAGGCUUAUACAAAAUCAGCGUAAUUGAAACCCUUGAUUUAACGUGAUAGUGAUGUCCCAUGCUGUGCCUAACCCACAUUAGGGCCCACAUGGUGGUCUUGCUCAUGAGAAUGCAGCUGCUACAGCCGCAUAAGCAAAGAAAGACCUUUGAUAUAAAUGGAGGAAUGUUUAUUAACUUUGCCCAAGUAACCUAGUUAACCUAGAACAAGACAAAAUGGAAACUGAAAAAGGAAAAAAUAGAAGCUAAAUCCCACCAAUACACACUGAAAGAAAGUAUAACCAACACGCUGCAGACCACUACUGGUACACUAGCAUGUAUAUCGCAUAAACCCCUUCUGUGGUUCUAUUCUCACCUACUGUAUUACUAACAUUUAUUCUUACCUAAUACUACUCAAGUACUAAUAGUCUAUGCAUACAUACAAAGCUCUGAUCUGAAAAGUUGGAGAAACUCGGGGGAGGGGUGAGGCGGAGCCUCAUACAGAUGGAGGCUCAAAAGUACUUUGUCUUUGUACUUCCAGUCUGAUUCUGCUCUUAGAGAAGCACGCGGCUGACGGCUCUGAGCCAAUUUAGAAGCGUUAGCAUUACAGUAAAAUUCCUUCCUCUUCAAACGACGUAGGGGAAAACGCAGUCUAAACCGUGAAUCGUUCAGAGGUCAGCCCCCUUUGACCAUGGCAAAUACCAUGGCAGACGAAAAAAAUAUUAAGAUUAACCUCUAGUUGUUACACAGCAGCCGGAUGCAGUAUCUGAACGUUCCACACACCCUUGAUUUAAAAUCUUUUUUGAAGUUUAGCUGCUGUCCGUUACAAUAAUAGUAAUAAUAGUAACAAGACUAAGGCUUUACUGCAGUCUGCCGACACACACACACACUCUCUCGGGAGCGUAAACAACAGAAGAGGCACACAGCUGACGCCUCCACACCCAAUUCAGAGACCGCGCCUCAACUCCCCCCUUUUUGAUUUUUUAAUAAACAAAUCAGCCCCGGUCUUCACACACCGUGACCAGUUUGACCACUCUCAACCACAGUGCGGACACGUCGUCACAAAAAAUGCACUAAAAUACUCAGAUUACAUCAAAAUGAUUAUUAAAGUACAAAGAAAAGUGAACACAAUAUAGGACAAUAAAAUAUGUUAAAGUAUUAAACA